rnacentral:rRNA from 1 species
UGGCUCAGGACGAACGCUGGCGGCACGCUUAACACAUGCAAGUCGAACGGAGUUAAUGGAGCUUGCUUGAUUAACUAGUGGCGGACGGGUGAGUAACACGUGAGCAACCUGCCUUUAAGAGUGGAAUAGCUUCUGGAAACGGAUGGUAAUACCGCAUAACAUUGCCGGACCGCAUGAUCUGGCAAUCAAAGAUUUAUCGCUUAAAGAUGGGCUCGCGUCUGAUUAGAUAGUUGGUGGGGUAACGGCCUACCAAGUCGACGAUCAGUAGCCGGACUGAGAGGUUGAACGGCCACAUUGGGACUGAGACACGGCCCAGACUCCUACGGGAGGCAGCAGUGGGGAAUAUUGCACAAUGGGCGGAAGCCUGAUGCAGCGAUGCCGCGUGGAGGAAGAAGGUUUUCGGAUUGUAAACUCCUUUUAUCAGGGACGAUAAUGACGGUACCUGAAGAAAAAGCUCCGGCUAACUACGUGCCAGCAGCAGC